rnacentral:lncRNA from 1 species
GGGGCAUUAUAGUCAUUUCACAAUAAAGGAGAGAUCAGACGGCAAAACGGACAUCACUUUUGAACUCAGGACGGUCGAAAACCUUAGGAGGAGCAUAAAAGGAAAAAUGGCACUAUUCACAUGUACGGUACUAUUCACGUAUACGGUACUGUCUACGUUACUGUUCACAUAGACGGAUCGAUGACGUGGCAUUGACCGAUGAUGUGGCAUUGACUGAUGAGGUGUCACGAUCCUGUUGGACUAAAAUUCUUAUGUACUGUUGACGGUGACGUGGCAGCAUAUCAGUGGACGAAAAAUCUCGCGUACG